rnacentral:tRNA from 1 species
GGUAGGAUGGCUGAGUGUUUAGCGGUGGGUUGUAGCUCCAUAUACAGGGGUUAAAAUCCCCUUCUUAUCA